AGGGAUAGGGUCGGUUCGGCCGGGUUUCACACAGGUGUUGCAUGGCUGUCGUCAGCUCGUGUCGUGAGAUGUUGGGUUAAGUCCCGCAACGAGCGCAACCCUCAUCCUUAGUUACCAUCAGGUAAUGCUGGGGACUUUAAGGAAACUGCCAGUGAUAAACUGGAGGAAGGUGGGGAUGAUGUCAAGUCAUCAUGGCCCUUAUGGAGUGGGCUACACACGUGCUACAAUGGUGGCUACAAUGGGCUGCAAAGUCGCGAGGCUAAGCUAAUCCCUUAAAAGCCAUCUCAGUUCGGAUUGUACUCUGCAACUCGAGUACAUGAAGUUGGAAUCGCUAGUAAUCGUGGAUCAGCAUGCCACGGUGAAUACGUUCUCGGGUCUUGUACACACUGCCCGUCACGCCAUGGGAAUUGGU
rnacentral:rRNA from 1 species